rnacentral:rRNA from 1 species
CGGACGGGUGAGUAAUGCUUGGGAAUCUGGCUUAUGGAGGGGGAUAACUGUGGGAAACUGCAGCUAAUACCGCGUAUUCUCUGAGGAGGAAAGGGUGGGACCUUAGGGCCACCUGCCAUAAGAUGAGCCCAAGUGGGAUUAGGUAGUUGGUGGGGUAAAGGCCUACCAAGCCUGCGAUCUCUAGCUGGUCUGAGAGGAUGACCAGCCACACUGGAACUGAGACACGGUCCAGACUCCUACGGGAGGCAGCAGUGGGGAAUAUUGCGCAAUGGGGGGAACCCUGACGCAGCCACGCCGCGUGAAUGAAGAAGGCCUUCGGGUUGUAAAGUUCUUUCGGUAAUGAGGAAGGGAUGUUGUUAAAUAGAUAGCAUCAUUGACGUUAAUUACAGAAGAAGCACCGGCUAACUCCGUGCCAGCAGCCGCGGUAAUACGGAGGGUGCGAGCGUUAAUCGGAAUAACUGGGCGUAAAGGGCACGUAGGCGGACUUUUAAGUGAGAUGUGAAAUCCCCGAGCUUAACUUGGGAACUGCAUUUCAGACUGGGAGUCUAGAGUACUUUAGGGAGGGGUAGAAUUCCACGUGUAGCGGUGAAAUGCGUAGAGAUGUGGAGGAAUACCGAAGGCGAAGGCAGCCCCUUGGGAAUGUACUGACGCUCAUGUGCGAAAGCGUGGGGAGCAAACAGGAUUAGAUACCCUGGUAGUCCACGCUGUAAACGCUGUCGAUUUGGGGAUUGGGCUAUAUGCUUGGUGCCCGAAGCUAACGUGAUAAAUCGACCGCCUGGGGAGUACGGCCGCAGGUUAAAACUCAAAUGAAAUGACGGGGG